CCUACGGUAGGCAGCAGUGGGGAAUAUUGCACAAUGGGGGGAACCCUGAUGCAGCGACGCCGCGUGAGUGAAGAAGUAUUUCGGUAUGUAAAGCUCUAUCAGCAGGGAAGAAAAUGACGGUACCUGACUAAUAAGCCCCGGCUAACUACGUGCCAGCAGCCGCGGUAAUACGUAGGGGGCAAGCGUUAUCCGGAUUUACUGGGUGUAAAGGGAGCGCAGACGGCUGUGCAAGUCUGUAGUGAAAGGCGGGGGCCCAACCCCCGGACUGCUCUGGAAACUGUAAAGCUGGAGUGCAGGAGAGGUAAGCGGAAUUCCUAGUGUAGCGGUGAAAUGCGUAGAUAUUAGGAGGAACACCAGUGGCGAAGGCGGCUUACUGGACUGCAACUGACGUUGAGGCUCGAAAGCGUGGGGAGCAAACAGGAUUAGAUACCCUGGUAGUC
rnacentral:rRNA from 1 species